AUUGAACGCUGGCGGCAGGCCUAACACAUGCAAGUCGAGCGGCAGCACUUCGGGUGGCGAGCGGCGAACGGGUGAGUAAUGCAUGGGAAUCUGCCUGAUAGUGGGGGAUAACUCUGGGAAACUAGAGGUAAUACCGCAUACGUCCUACGGGAGAAAGCGGGGGAUCUUCGGACCUCGCGCUAUCAGAGGAGCCCAUGUCCGAUUAGCUAGUUGGUGAGGUAAAGGCUCACCAAGGCGACGAUCGGUAACUGGUCUGAGAGGAUGGUCAGUCACACUGGAACUGAGACACGGUCCAGACUCCUACGGGAGGCAGCAGUGGGGAAUAUUGGACAAUGGGGGCAACCCUGAUCCAGCCAUGCCGCGUGUGUGAAGAAGGCCUGGUUGUAAGCGACUUAAGCAGGAGGAAGGACGUCGAAA
rnacentral:rRNA from 1 species